GCUUUAUUUAAUAAUUUCUCUAUUUAUGAAUACUUACUGUUUUCUAUGGCAAACUCUCAGGAAUUUUUUCUUCAGUACUAACUGCUAAAAGUUCUGUGGUCCAAAUCAUAACAAUUUCCCAAAUACUUGUGCAGGUUUUCCUAUUUCUCAUUUGUGCUUCCAAUGUUGCUUCUGAAUUUCUGUAUUAAAAGACCUCUCACUUCAAUUCAAUUAUAUAAGCUUAUAUAUAUUAGUAGGUGAGUUCUUUGUCAGCAACUAAGUUUCUAAAACACUCUAGACUCCUAGGAAUUGUAUGUUUAGUUCAAAGAUAAAUGAAUAAUUGAAUUUCUCAUCACCAAGUUACCUUUGUUCAAUUGUCAGAUAAAAUAUUUUAUUUGUUUCCUCCUAGUUAAGACCGGCAAAAUUAACCGCUGUUAUAUUAUUUUUACUUUUCCCCUUAUGAUAACUUUUCUUCUCUAAUAAUUUCUCUUCUCUGUUUUCCAGUGAUUCAUUGAUUCAUUGAGAGCCAGUUGUGCUAGAUGCUGGAGAAAGCAGGCUGAGUCAGAUAGGCAGGCUCUCUACCCUCAUAAUCUUAAACGUGAGAGAUGAGAGACAGUCACUCACUUAUAUAUUGAGAUGAAAUGAAGAUUUCUCAGGCAUCACUACUUAUUUGACUGACUCAUCGAGCACAUGUUCUAUGAUGAGCAACUUGAACCUGGGUUUUUGCUUCUGUGUAGAGCAGAAAGAGCAUCAGUGGCAUAAAAACACUGCAUGUUCUGAGGUUGAAACAGAUGAGGAAGUUGGCCUACCACGGCAUUAUGGGAAGAUUUCAUUAGAGAAAACAUAUUAAACAGCAUGAAAGCCAUCAUUUCCAUAAACUAUAUCCACUAUUUAAAAAAUUUUGGAAAUACAUUUAAAGAGACAGAGGGUGAGAAAAUAUAACAUGCUGUACCACACUUCGUGUUAAUCAUUUUAAGCUAAAUCACUUUAACUUAAAACUCAAAUUGCAACAAUAUGUUAUUAAAACUAGGUCAUAC
rnacentral:lncRNA from 1 species